GACGAACGCUGGCGGCGUGCUUAACACAUGCAAGUCGAGCGAUGAAACACCUUCGGGUGCGGAUUAGCGGCGAACGGGUGAGGAACACGUGAGGAAUCUGCCUUCCACUCUGGGAUAACUCCGGGAAACCGGGGCUAAUACCGGAUACUUUCAACUGGCGGCAUCGCCGGUUGAAGAAAGUUUUUCGGUGGAAGAUGACCUCGCGGCCUAUCAGCUUGUUGGUGAGGUAAAGGCUCACCAAGGCGACGACGGGUAGCCGGCCUGAGAGGGCGACCGGCCACACUGGGACUGAGACACGGCCCAGACUCCUACGGGAGGCAGCAGUGGGGAAUAUUGGGCAAUGGAGGAAACUCUGACCAGCGACGCCGCGUGAGGGAUGAAGGCCUUCGGGUUGUAAACCUCUUUCAGCAGGGGAUAAGCGAAAGUGAAGGUACCUGCAGAAGAAGCACCGGCUAACUAUGUGCCAGCAGCCGCAGUAA
rnacentral:rRNA from 1 species